UACGUAGGGUGCGAGCGUUAAUCGGAAUUACUGGGCGUAAAGCGUGCGCAGGCGGUUUGUUAAGGCAGAUGUGAAAUCCCCGGGCUUAACCUGGGAACUGCAUUUGUGACUGGCAAGCUAGAGUAUGGCAGAGGGGGGUAGAAUUCCACGUGUAGCAGUGAAAUGCGUAGAGAUGUGGAGGAAUACCGAUGGCGAAGGCAGCCCCCUGGGCCAAUACUGACGCUCAUGCACGAAAGGCGUGGGGAGCAAACAGG
rnacentral:rRNA from 1 species